CUUGCUCGUUUGUUGAUCUGUCCACAACAGAAACAAACAAAAAACCACCUUUAAGAUGGGAACUUGGAAGGUUAAGGCUGCCUUCCCACAUCUUAAACAGCCUCAGCCUCCUGAUCUUAAACCAGAUUUCAUCUACUGGACAAGACAGCUACUCUUGAACGUCAUUGGAAAGGAGCUUAUCAGGGUCCACACCUCUAGCGCUGUCAGACCCCAGCGUGUACACCUGUUCUACCCGGGACGUGCUCCUGCAGCUGUGACGCUCUCGCAGGGCUGUGAGUUUUCCGGGGGCUGGCACUAGCUCCAGUCCCCAGGUCUCAGCCCCGAUGCCUGGGAUCCGGCUCUCUCCAGAACGGGCACUCCUGCAGUGUUGCUCAAGGAUUACAGACCUGCGGUUGGCCUCCUGGUUGCACAUUCAAAUCACCAAGGGAGCUUUUAAGAAAUACCACCUCUUAGACUCACCUAAAGCAAUUAAAUCAGCAUCUCUGGAGGGUGUGGCUGUAUGUUGUUAUUUCUUAAAAGCUCAGGUGUGGCCCUAACCAGUUUUGCUCAGUGGAUAGAGCAUCGGCCUGUGGACU